CCAUUAUUUUCUACUCCGGGUUCUUCAAGGUCUAACUCCAAGACGCCAUGAUACUUCCAACGAGUACCAAUCAUGUUGUCUACUUCGUGGACUCCAUGGCUACUCCAAACUGCUACUGAACUUUUGUUGUGGUUUGAGCUCUCUUCUUGAGAUCUCUAGAUCGCUUCUUAGAACAUGUUAAACCAUGAUGGUUUUAACCAUUUUCGAGCCUUGAAACCUUGUACAUCAAUGACUUUGAAGUCUUGUGCACAUUCAAUCUUGAGCUCCAUGACUUUGACACUUGAAUGCGUGAGCUUGAUUCAGCAUUCCCACCAGAUUUCUUCUCUAAUUUGAUCGUCCACCAAUGUCACUUCCUCUCUAACAACCACUUGAGUUCGCUGGCCAGAUUUCUUCUUCGUGUUGUCUUGAGUUUUGACUUGGUUGGAUCGUCUAAAUGGACCUUAUGUCUUCAAAUAUAACCGGCUCUACUCUUCACUUUCUUAGUCCUUCAUGACUUGUUCUGAAUCCUUUCCUUGUCAACUUUUACUUCCUUGAGGCUCUCAUUGGUCUCUUUGAGGCUCUUAUGGUCUCCUUCACCCUUAAACAAGAGAUAAAGAAGAAGAGAUUAAGUUUUGCCAUAAGGAAUAUCAAAGAGAAACUUAACUCAACCAAAUGAGGAAUAUCAAAGCUAUUAAGCAACAAUUAGGAGUUCAUGAAUAUGAUUAAGCUGUGAAUCUAAGGCAAUGGUUUAAUGAAAAAUAUCAUGAAAUGAGAGUAGAGUUUAGAAACAGCCUUUAUUUGAAGAAGACUUGAACUUUUGCGGUUUGUCUAAAUGGACCUCAAGUCUGAUGGUGAAUGGUUCUAACCCUCCCGCAAACUUAUAGUGUCCAGAUUAUCCAGCCCUUAAUCUCUAACAAAUGCAUUCGCCUUCUCUUCAUGAAACAAGCGAUUCCUUGCAAAACAUAUUAGAGUUAACGGGCAACAAAAACAAAAUUGGUGAAAGAUUAGUGUAAG
rnacentral:lncRNA from 1 species